rnacentral:rRNA from 1 species
AUUGAACGCUGGCGGCAUGCUUUACACAUGCAAGUCGAACGGUAACAGGUUAAGCUGACGAGUGGCGAACGGGUGAGUAAUGCAUCGGAACGUGCCCGGUCGUGGGGGAUAACGCAGCGAAAGCUGCGCUAAUACCGCAUACGAUCUGAGGAUGAAAGCGGGGGACCGUAAGGCCUCGUGCGAUCGGAGCGGCCGAUGUCAGAUUAGGUAGUUGGUGGGGUAAAGGCUCGCCAAGCCAACGAUCUGUAGCUGGUCUGAGAGGAAGACCAGCCACACUAGGACUGAGACACGGCCCAGACUCCUACGGGAGGCAGCAGUGGGGAAUGUUGGACAAUGGGCGAAAGCCUGAUCCAGCAAUGCCGCGUGCAGGAAGAAGGCCUUCGGGUUGUACACUGCUUUUGUACGGAGCGAAAAGGUCUCCUCUAAUACAGGGGGCUCAUGACGGUACCGUAAGAAUAAGCACCGGCUAACUACGUGCCAGCCGCCGCAGUAA